rnacentral:tRNA from 2 species
GGCGCCUUGGCGGAGUGGUUACGCAGCGGCCUGCAAAGCCGUUUACGCCGGUUCGAUUCCGGCAGGCGCCU